rnacentral:rRNA from 1 species
AGUGAACGCUGGCGGUAGGCCUAACACAUGCAAGUCGAACGACCACACAGUGAGAGCUCGCUCUUACGGGUGGCGAGUGGCGGACGGGUGAGGAAUACAUAGGCAUCUACUUUUUCGUGGGGGAUUACGUAGGGAAACUUCCGCUAAUACCGAAUACGACCAACGGGUGAAAGCAGGGGUUCAUCGGACUUUUCGCGACUGUAUGAGACGAUGCCGGAUUAGCUAGUUGGCUGGGUAAAGGCACACCAAGGCAACGAUCCGUAGCUGGUCUGAGAGGGUGAUCAGCCACACUGGAACUGAGACACGGUCCAGACUCCUACGGGAGGCAGCAGUGGGGAAUAUUGGACAAUGGGCGCAAGCCUGAUCCAGCCAUACCGCGUGGGUGAAGAAGGCCUUCGGGUUGUAAAGCCCUUUUGUUGGGAAAGAAAAGCAGCAUGUUAAAACACCGCUGCUCUGACGGUACCCAAAGAAUAAGCACCGGCUAACUUCGUG